rnacentral:misc_RNA from 1 species
UUUAAAAUGCAAUUUGCAUUAAAAGCCCAAAAGGGCAAAGAUUACACUUGGGCUAACAAUAAACUGAAAAGAAAAGGAAGCCCAAUCUGAAAACGAGGAAACCAACCCAGUUAACCAAAUCAACCCAACCCAAACCCAUGGAAACCCACACCCUAAACCGACCCAUCUCUCAUCCUCAAACCCUAGGAUGACUGAAAGAACACAAAAAAAGAGUCCUCCGAUCACCACAAGAGAUCCACCAAAGGUCGCCCCCAUGAACACGGAACUUAGAUCGCCAUCAAAUGCAAGGAGCUAAUGCCCAUCUAAGCACAACAUUUAACUUAAUAGAGAAAAGCCUUUCCAUUUCUCAACAAUGACAGCUCUACCAUCAACAAAGGGGUGUUGUCGCAGAACUCGUUGGACUCUAAGCCAACAUGAUGACCUUCCCAGCCGUGGUGUAGAAGCAGAUCCCAGAGUUACGAACCAGUUGAAGAAAAUGAAGCCCCUUUUGCCACAUGGAAAGCAUACCCAAACCGACAUGGUGGCAGAGACCCAUCAAACAGGAACAAAGGCUUCCUUUCGAGAACCUUCUGCCAUCACCUCUCGAACCCAACUCUUUCUAAACGAGUGAAGAAUCCGAGAGAACAAAAAUUAAAAAUCAAUUUUCUUUUUUCUCUCGAUGAAACCGAGAUAAUUUUAGUUGUGGUGUCACAUAUCUUCUCACUAAGGAGAUGUUUAAAUUUGAAUGAUACACUUAUAUGCUAUUAUUUUUCCUUUCAUAUAUUAUGGUAUGGUCAUUG